UAGCGAAAUUCCUUGUCGGGUAAGUUCCGACCCGCACGAAAGGCGUAAUGAUUUGGAUACUGUCUCGGAGAGGGACUCGGUGAAAUAGACUUGUCUGUGAAGAUGCGGACUACCUGCACCUGGACAGAAAGACCCUAUGAAGCUUUACUGUAACUUGAAAUUGAAAUUGGACUUUAUUUGCGCAGUAUAAGUGGGAGACAUUGAUAAUUUUCUUGCGGGAAUUUUGGAGUCAUAAGUGAGAUACCACUCCUAUAAUGUUAGGUUUCUAACUUUUGUCAUUUAUCUGAUUAAAAGAACAGUUUCAGGCGGGCAGUUUGACUGGGGCGGUCGCCUCCUAAAAAGUAACGGAGGCGCUCAAAGGUUUCCUCAGCACGGUCGGAAAUCGUGCGAAGAGUGUAAAGGCAAAAGGAAGCUUGAUUGCAAGACAUACAGGUCGAGCAAGGACGAAAGUCGGACUUAGUGAUCCGGUGGUACCGCAUGGAAGGGCCAUCGCUCAACGGAUAAAAGCUACCCUGGGGAUAACAGGCUUAUCUCCC
rnacentral:rRNA from 1 species